GAUGAACGCUGGCGGCGUGCCUAAUACAUGCAAGUCGAGCGAACAGACGAGGCGCUUGCUCCUCUGACGUUAGCGGCGGACGGGUGAGUAACACGUGGAUAACCUACCUAUAAGACUGGGAUAACUUCGGGAAACCGGAGCUCAUACCGGAUAAUAUAUUGAACCGCAUGGUUCAAUAGUGAAAGACGGUUUUGCUGUCGGUGAUAGGUGGGUUCGCGCCGCAUUAGCUAGUUGGUAAGGUAACGGCUUACCAAGGCAACGACGGGUAGCUGGCCCGAGAGGGUGGACGGCGACAUUGGGACUGAGAUACGGCACAGACUACUACGGGAGGCAGCAGUGGGGAAUAUUGCACAAUGGGAGGAAGCCUGAUGCAGCGACGCCGCGUGGGGGAUGACGGCCUUCGGGUUGUAAACUCCUUUCGCUAGGGACGAAGCUUUUGUGACGGUACCUAGAUAAGAAGCACCGGCUAACUACGUG
rnacentral:rRNA from 1 species